CAAGUGUCAAUGAUGCUGGGCCCCGAGGGAGGUGAAGGUUUUGUGGUCAAGCUCCGUGGCCUACCCUGGCCCUGCUCUAUUGAAGACAUGCAGAACUUCCUCUCCAACUGCACAAUUCGUGAUGGGACCACAGGUGUCCACUUCAUCUACACUAGAGAGGGCAGGCAGAGUGGUGAGGCUUUUGUUGAACUUGAAUCAGAAGAUGAUGUAAAAAUGGCCCUGAAAAAAGACAGGGAAAGCAUGGGACACCGGUACAUUGAGGUGUUCAAGUCCCACAGAACCAAGAUGGAUUGUGUGUUGAAGCACAGUGGUCCCAAGAGUGCUGACAGCGCCAACGAUGGCUUCGUCGGACAUCGAGGACUCCCAUUUGGAUUCACAAAGGAAGAAAUUGUCCAGUUCUUCUCACGGUUGGAAAUCAUGCCAAACGGGAUCACAUUACCUGUGGACCCUGAGGGCAAGAUAACAGGGGAAGCUUUUGUACAGUCUGCCUCCCAGGAGUUAGCUGAGAAGGCUCUGGGGAAGCACAAGGAGAGGAUAGGGCACAGAUAUAUAGAAGUGUUCAAGAGCAGUCAGGAGGAAGUUAGGUCAUACUCUGAUCUCCCUCUAAAGUUCUUGUCUGUGCAGCGGCCAGGGCCCUGUGACUGCCCUGGCACAGUUAGGAGAUACAUUGGUAGAAGCAAGCCGGCCUGGAUAGGAUGUAGCCUGGUGCCUACAGUGAAGGCUACAGUGGCUAUAAAAAGUACAGAAGCCUCAGCGAUGGCUACGGCUUCACCACUGACCUAUUUGGAAGAGACCUCAGCUACUGUCUCUCUGGGAUGUAUGACCACAGAUAUGGAGAUGGUGAGUUUGCAGUGCAGAGCACCACUGGGCACUGCACCACAUGAAGGGGCUGCCAUACAUAGAGACGUGAGAAUGACAUUUACAACUUCUUCUCUCCACUCAACCCUGUGAGAAUGCAUAUCGAGAUUGGCCCAGAUGGAAGAGUGACCAGCCAAGCAGAUGUAGAGUUUGCCACUCACGAAGAGGCUGUGGCAACAAUGUCGAAAGACAGGACUAACAUGCAGCACAGAUUCAUAGAGCUCUUCUUGAAUUCAACAACAGGGGCCAGCAGUGCAGCAUACAGCAGCCAGGUGAUGCAAGGCAUGGCGUGUCAGCAGCCCAGGCCACUUACAGUGGGUUGGAGAGCCAGUCAGUCAGUGGCUGCUACGGGGCUGCCUACAGCGGGCAGUACAGCAUGGGUGGGUACGACUAGUUUUGUAGGAACAUUUAACUUUUUUCAAUCAAAUUUUCACAGGCAGCCAACAAGCAAUGAAGAGCAGUUAUAACUCUAGAGGAAGCUGUGGGGACCCGUUUUGCAGCAUGAGUUUGUGAAAUCUGGAUCAAAAAAAUUACCUCUUCAGUGUUUUCUCAUGCAAACUUUUCUUCUAGCAUGUGAUAUUGAGUAAACUAAAACUAUUUUCAGCUUUUCCCAAUUAACAUUCUGGUAGUAUACUUUAGAGUGAUGUUAUUUGAGGUUAAGUAGUUUAAGUAUGUUAAAUAUGGACCUUUUGCCACUACAUCGCAGUGAACACACUGUUGAGACAUGCUUUUUUUGAAAACUCAAAGGUGCUAGCUCCCUGAUUCAAAAAGAAAUAUUUCUCAUGUUCAUUCUAGUUUAUUUUCAUUUAAAAUCUUUUAGGUUAAAUUUAAGCUUUUUAAGAGUUAGUUUUGAGAAUUAAGACACAAUACUAAUACUGCAGGGAUUGGUGAGGCCUUGACUUAAAACUUUCUUUGUACUGUGAUUUCCUUUGGGGUGUAUUUUGCUAAGUGAAACUUGUUAAAUUUUUUUGUUAACUAAAUUUUUUUCUUAAAAUAAAGAUUUUU